CCUACGGGCGGCAUCAGUGGGGAAUAUUGCACAAUGGGGGAAACCCUGAUGCAGCGACGCCGCGUGAGUGAAGAAGUAUUUCGGUAUGUAAAGCUCUAUCCGCAGGGACGAAGAUGACGGUGGCUGCUUAAGAAGCCGCGGCUACCUACGUGCCAGCAGCCGCGGUAAUACGUAGGUGGCAAGCGUCAUCCGGAUUUACUGGGUGGAGAGGGAGCGGAGACGGCAGAACAAGUCUGGAGUGAAAAGGCGGGGCUUAACCCCGGAACUGCUUUGGAAACUGUGGAGCUAGAGUGCAGGAGAGGUAAGGGGAAUUCCGAGUGUAGCGGUGAAAUGCGUAGAUAUAAGGAGGAACACCAGUGGCGAAGGCGGCUUGCUGGACUGUAACUGACGUUGAGGCGCGAAAGCGUGGGGAGCAAACAGGAUUAGAUACCCCUGUAGUC
rnacentral:rRNA from 1 species